rnacentral:rRNA from 1 species
UGAGCAAUCUGCCCUUCUCAUCGGAAUAACCAUUGGAAACGAUGGCUAAUACCGAAUACGACCUCGGAUCGCAUGAUCUGAGGUGGAAAGCUCCGGCGGUGAAGGAUGAGCUCGCGGCCUAUCAGCUUGUUGGUGAGGUAAUAGCUCACCAAGGCGAUGACGGGUAGCCGGCCUGAGGAGGGUGACCGGCCACACGUGGGACUGAGACACGGCCCAGACCUCCG